rnacentral:rRNA from 1 species
GACGAACCGAGCGAACGUUGUUCGGAAUCACUGGGCUUAAAGGGCGCGUAGGCAGGUGUGCCAGUCUGCGGUGAAAGCCUCCAGCUUAACUGGAGAAGGGCCGUGGAUACUGCACAUCUUGAGGAGGGUAGGGGCAUCUGGAACGGUCGGUGGAGCGGUGAAAUGCGUUGAUAUCGACCGGAACUCCGGUGGCGAAGGCGAGGUGCUGGACCCUUUCUGACGCUGAGGCGCGAAAAGCCAGGGGAGCAAACGGGGAU